UCCCUGGUGGCUCAGACGGUAAAGCAUCUGCCUACAAUGCAGGAGACCCAGGUUUGAUCCCUGGGCUGGGAA
rnacentral:tRNA from 1 species